CAAGAAAUAGUUUAAUAAAAAUAUUAGUUUUGGAGACUUAAGAUGGAUAAUAAUCUUUUCUUGA
rnacentral:tRNA from 1 species